rnacentral:rRNA from 1 species
GAUGAACGCUGGCGGUAUGCUUAACACAUGCAAGUCGAAUGGACUCUUCGGAGUUAGUGGCGGACGGGUGAGUAACGCGUGAGAAUCUGGCUUUGGGUUCGGGACAACCACUGGAAACGGUGGCUAAUACCGGAUGUGCCGAGAGGUAAAAGAGAAAUUGCCUGAAGAUGAGCUCGCGUCUGAUUAGCUAGUUGGUGAGGUAAGGGCUCACCAAGGCAGCGAUCAGUAGCUGGUCUGAGAGGAUGACCAGCCACACUGGGACUGAGACACGGCCCAGACUCCUACGGGAGGCAGCAGUGGGGAAUUUUCCGCAAUGGGCGAAAGCCUGACGGAGCAAUACCGCGUGAGGGAAGAAGGCUCUUGGGUUGUAAACCUCUUUUCUUAGGGAAGAACAAAAUGACGGUACCUAAGGAAUCAGCAUCGGCUAACUCCGUG